AGUACGGCCGCAAGGUUAAAACUCAAAUGAAUUGACGGGGGCCCGCACAAGCGGUGGAGCAUGUGGUUUAAUUCGAUGCAACGCGAAGAACCUUACCUACUCUUGACAUCCAGAGAACUUAGCAGAGAUGCUUUGGUGCCUUCGGGAACUCUGAGACAGGUGCUGCAUGGCUGUCGUCAGCUCGUGUUGUGAAAUGUUGGGUUAAGUCCCGCAACGAGCGCAACCCUUAUCCUUUGUUGCCAGCGGUUAGGCCGGGAACUCAAAGGAGACUGCCAGUGAUAAACUGGAGGAAGGUGGGGAUGACGUCAAGUCAUCAUGGCCCUUACGAGUAGGGCUACACACGUGCUACAAUGGCAUAUACAAAGAGAAGCGACCUCGCGAGAGCAAGCGGACCUCAUAAAGUAUGUCGUAGUCCGGAUUGGAGUCUGCAACUCGACUCCAUGAAGUCGGAAUCGCUAGUAAUCGUGGAUCAGAAUGCCACGGUGAAUACGUUCCCGGGCCUUGUACACACCGCCCGUCACACCAUGGGAGUGGGUUGCAAAAGAAGUAGGUAGCUUAACCUUCGGGAGGGCGCUUACCACUUUGUGAUUCAUGACUGGGGUGAAGUCGUAACAAGGUAACCGUAGGGGAACCUGCGGUUG
rnacentral:rRNA from 1 species